rnacentral:miRNA from 1 species
AACAUCUUCUUACCAAAAAGUGCAAAGAUAAGGAGAUACGUUCUGCGCAUGCGCAGCGGUAUCUCCUUAAAUACGCCUAAUUUGUUGAAAGGAUAUUAAGCAAAGUUGUAGCCCUCAUCAUGACGAACAACUUUUAUUAACAUCUUCUUACCAAAAAGUGCAAAGGUAAGGAGAUACGUUCUGCGCAUGCGCUGCGCUAUCUCCUUAAAUACGCAUAAUUUGUUAAAAGGAUAUU